rnacentral:piRNA from 1 species
UAGAUCAGCUCGUUUGUGUAGAAGGCUGGU